rnacentral:rRNA from 1 species
UACGUAGGGUGCGAGCGUUGUCCGGAAUUAUUGGGCGUAAAGGGCUCGUAGGCGGUUCGGUAAGUCGGGUGUGAAACCUCCAGGCUCAACCUGGAGACGCCACCCGAUACUGCUGUGACUAGAGUCCGGUAGGGGAGCGUGGAAUUCCUGGUGUAGCGGUGAAAUGCGCAGAUAUCAGGAGGAACACCAGCGGCGAAGGCGGCGCUCUGGGCCGGAACUGACGCUGAGGAGCGAAAGCGUGGGGAGCAAACAGG